AGAAUGAGAGAAAACAACAUUAAUAUUCAAAGGCCUAACAAACCAUUUUUUACGCGGUGAUAUAAAUAGCAAACGAUUAACUAUGUUUCUAAGUAAAAACCGAUGACCAAGCAACACCCGGUUUUAACGAAAUACUUCCUUAAGGAAACAAAAGACAAAAAAACCAAAGUGUGUCAGGAAAUACUUCCUGCAAUUUCUGGAGUCCCGGCACCCACACUUGUCAUUUUCUCACUGCCUGUGGCAGAAUAUGACACUCUGUUUAAAUUGUUAUGGAAUUAACCUGGCGAUGUGUAUAAUAUACUGUACCACAGCGGCAGUUUAAACGGGCUAUGAAGGUAAAUACCAUAGAAGACAAAAAUGCAGAAGCCGCCGACACAGUUCUUUGUUUAUAACCUUCACACCAGCACAGAGAACUUAUUUUAUUGCUGAAAUCAUCGACCAUUCAAAUAUGUUAUACGUGUCGAUCAAUUUUAUUUUAACACCCAAAUGGUUUCAAGAAAUUCAGCUACACUUCCAACGAAAGUAUGCAUAAAUAGGAAUUGGUGCGGAAAGAGUGUACAUGUAAGCCACUGUGGAAAUCUAACGAAGAAAUCAACCGACCUUCUACCAAAAAUACCUAGGGGCAUCAAGAAAGGAAUGACUUUGCCAAUGGAAUUAUUGUAGGAUAUUAAACAACAGUGAACGAUUUUGACUAAUACAGAUGUUAUUAAAUGAAAUUAGAUCCAGAAAGAUUUGGUAAUCUUAUAAUUGAUAGUGAUUUUGAUUUUGGCGGUUAUUAUCUUUUAGCCGAAAGUAAAGUUUAAAAAAAAGGAAUUAGGUUGUCAUUUGUGUCAAUGGAAUAAUUGUGGGAUAUUAAACAACAGUCAACAAUUUUGACUAUUACAUAUGCUAUUAAAUGAAAUUAGAUCCAGAUAUAUUGAUGGUGAUUUUGCAGGAUUCUAUUCUUAACGGUUAUUAUCUUUUAGCCGGAUGUAAAGUUGCUAAAAAUAAUUGAAUUUUUGAAAGUUUUAUACAGGCAAACUUAGCUGUUAAAAGGUUUUACUUUCAUGGAUAUAAACGUAUUUACCAUUUUUAGAAAGAACGUACAAAUGAUUAUAACUUGAUACUUUUGCGUACAGCACGCUUAAAAUAGAGAUGCUCAAAUAAACGUAAAUACUUUGAAUACUAAGAAAGUUGCUUACCAAUGUUUAUAUUUCAUUAAAAGAAAUGAUUUUUUUAUAAAACAAGAACAUACUAUAAAUUCUACAAAGAAAUAACAGCUAGUUUCUUUUUUCAAUAGGACAGCAAAUUUAAUAUUGUAAUGCUUAAUUAGAUGAACUAAAAACCCAAACAACAAAAUUCUUUUCACAAAAUAUUUACAAUUUAUGCUUUUUUAAAUCAAAAUUGUUGAAUUUCUAAUAAGUCAUGUCCCCUGGAGAAAGUCUACGUGAAGUGUUCAAUUCUAACUAAAACUAACUUUAACCUCUGUAAAUAUAUAACUAGCAUAUUUAUAUAAGUCUACUUAAAUUAAAAAGAUAUGUCUGAUCAUAUUGGUAUCCUAACAUAAAAAAACUUCUUUUUUAAUGAAUUUAUAUGUUUCAUACAAGAACAACAUUUAUCAUGACAAAACAUUAAAGUUUUAUAUAAAUAACAUAAAUCAAAAAACUUUCAAACUUCUUAUCGAAUAAUCCAUUCGAGUAUGAAGUACAUCCGUUUUGGAAAAAAAAUAUAUUUAAUAUGUUAAUUACAGUAUUUAAUGGGAUUACACCCACUCAAAUAUACUUAAAUGGAAUUAAUGGUAUGGUAAUUAUCAACACGAAGACACUUUUUUACUUAUUUUUCAUGAAUAAUCCAAAACAUUUGUUUUUGUUAAGUUGCAGUUAAAGUACUUAAUAUAUUCAUAUUAGUAUGCUAUAAAUAUGAGAACUCAUUGAUUAACCUCUACAUUUCAACUGAUAUUCCAAAUUCAACUAAGCAUAUGAAUUAUUAUUUGUUUGUUUGCUUUACACAUAAAUGGUAGAUUUAUAUACCUACAUAUGAAUGUACUACCCGUUAACAUAAAUCCAUGAAUAUUAGCAUUUUAAGGGAAUUAUAUAAUAGACUUGGGAUCCCUAAUGACUUCUAUUCAUAAAAUGAACGGGUUUCCCAGUCACAUACCGUUAUUUCAACGCUUUACACUAUGACGGUUAAAUAUGCAAGUAUCGGGGGGUAGGGCGUUAUUGUACCUCCCUAAGAUGCAGUUUCCAACAAAAUUAUAUAUGUAUAUGUUUUAUCAUAGACUGUUUUAUCAUAGGGUGUACGAAUAUAUUGGUUAACCAC